AUUGAACGCUGGCGGCAGGCCUAACACAUGCAAGUCUAGCGGAUGAAGGGAGCUUGCUCCUGGAUUCAGCGGCGGACGGGUGAGUAAUGCCUAGGAAUCUGCCUGGUAGUGGGGGAUAACGUCCGGAAACGGGCGCUAAUACCGCAUACGUCCUGAGGGAGAAAGUGGGGGAUCUUCGGACCUCACGCUAUCAGAUGAGCCUAGGUCGGAUUAGCUAGUUGGUGGGGUAAAGGCCUACCAAGGCGACGAUCCGUAACUGGUCUGAGAGGAUGAUCAGUCACACUGGAACUGAGACACGGUCCAGACUCCUACGGGAGGCAGCAGUGGGGAAUAUUGGACAAUGGGCGAAAGCCUGAUCCAGUCAUGCCGCGUGUGUGAAGAAGGUCUUCGGAUUGUAAAGCACUUUAAGUUGGGAGGAAGGGCAGUAAGUUAAUACCUUGCUGUUUUGACGUUACCAACAGAAUAAGCACCGGCUAACUUCGUG
rnacentral:rRNA from 1 species